GUAAUCACAGAGUCAAAUCCGGUUCUAAUCUGGUACCUAAAGGGGCAAAAGAGAUCCCUGUCCAUCUUGACAAGGGUAAGAAUGUACGUCAUACGCAGGGUGUCGGAGGAUUUAAAAUCGCCGCCAAUGCAUGCACUUAAAGAUCGUUUGCUGAAAAAGUAAUCACGGAGUCAAAUCUGGUUCUAAUCUGGUACCUAAACAUGCUAAAGGGGCAAAAGAGAUCCCUGUCCAUCUUGACAAGGGUAAGAAUGUACGUCAUACGCAGGGUGUCGGAGGAUUUGAAAUCGCUGCCAAUGCAUGCACUUAAAGGUUAAUCGGUAGACAUAAAUGGGAAUGUAGUUCGAUCCAUAUUGCUCAGAAUGUCGUCCUCGGAAGACCACUCUGAAGUAUCAUCAUCAUUUUGGUUGAUUAUCAAUUAAUUAUAAAUAAUGAAUAAAAUCAAUAUUAAUAAAUAUGUAAUAAUCAUUAUAUGAUAAUUAUAAAUCAUAAUUAUUAUAUGAUUAUUAUUAAUUAAUAUUAUUGCAAUAUUAUAAUUAUAAUUAUAUUAUAGGGUUAUUGCAUGAAUAUUGGGGAAUAUUGUCCCGAGUAGAGUAUAGCAAUAUAAUAUUUGAAAGUAAAAAAAUGGUUUAAACUAAGAUUUAAACGUUGAUGACGUCAUGAAUUUUGAAGAUUUAUUGCACUAGUGCAAUAUUAGAAUUUAUUGCACGCUAACUUUUGGUUACGUUCUGUGGGAAAUAUUAUAUUGCUAUACAAUAAUAUGGGGUUAUUGCAUGAAUAUCAUGAAUAUUUGUCCCUAGCAGUAUCAGGGCUCAACUACUUAAAAAAAACAGGGAGAAGUGACUUCUCUUUGAGUCAGAGCUCAGACUUAAACAAGUCUUUUUCCGUUUCCGACUUAUAGAAGUCAAAAAC